rnacentral:rRNA from 1 species
GUGCGAAGGCGCAAGCCGCUGUAUACGCUCUGACGCCUGCCCGGUGCCGGAAGGUUAAGAGGAUCCGUCAGGCUUCGGCCGAAGCGGUGAAUUCAAGCCCCGGUAAACGGCGGUGGUAACUAUAACCAUCCUAAGGUAGCGAAAUUCCUUGUCGGGUAAGUUCCGACCUGCACGAAUGGCGUAACGACUUCCCCACUGUCUCGACCAGGAGCUCGGCGAAAUUGCAGUACGAGUAAAGAUGCUCGUUAAGCGCAGAAGGACGAAAAGACCCCGGGACCUUUACUAUACCUUGGUAUUGGCAUUCGGUGUGGAUUGUGUAGCAUAGGCGGAAGGCUUCGAAGCCACGGCGCCAGCCGCGGUGGAGCCGCAAGGUGAAAUACCGCUCUGUUCGCAUUGGAUGUCUAACCUCGACCAGUCAUCCUGGUCAGGGACAGUGCCUGGCGGGUAGUUUAACUGGGGCGGUUGCCUCCCAAAGAGUAACGGAGGCGCUCAAAGGUUCCCUCAGCCCGGUUGGCAAUCGGGUGGCGAGUGUAAGUGCACAAGGGAGCUUGACUGCGAGACUGACGGGUCGAGCAGGGACGAAAGUCGGAACUAGUGAUCCGGUGCCGGUGUACGGACGCGGCAUCGCUCAACGGAUAAAAGGUACCCCGGGGAUAACAGGCUGAUCAUUCCCAAGAGUCCAUAUCGACGGGAUGGUUUGGCACCUCGAUGUCGGCUCGUCGCAUCCUGGGGCUGGAGCAGGUCCCAAGGGUUCGGCUGUUCGCCGAUUAAAGCGGCACGCGAGCUGGGUUCAGAACGUCGUGAGACAGUUUGGUCUCUAUCCUCUGCGCUCGUCGGAAUGUUGAGGAGGCCUGCCCAUAGUACGAGAGGACCUGGGUGGACGAACCUCUGGUAUGCCGGUUGUCACGCCAGUGGCACGGCCGGUUGGCUACGUUCGGAAGGGAUAACCGCUGAAAGCAUCUAAGCGGGAAGCCUGCUCCAAGAUAAGCAUUCCAUAGGACUACGGGUCCUUGAAGUCCCCAUGCAGAACACGUGGUUGAUAGGCCGGACGUGGAAGCCCCGCGAGGGGUGGAGCCGACCGGUACUAACGGACGAAAGGCAACACAAC